UACGUAGGGAGCAAGCGUUGUCCGGAAUCAUUGGGCGUAAAGCGCGCGUAGGCGGCCCCGUAAGUCCGCUGUGAAAGUCAAAGGCUCAACCUUUGAAAGCCGGUGGAUACUGUGGGGCUAGAGUCCGGAAGAGGCGAGUGGAAUUCCUGGUGUAGCGGUGGAAUGCGCAGAUAUCAGGAGGAACACCAAUAGCGAAGGCAGCUCGCUGGGACGUUACUGACGCUGAGACGCGAAAGCGUGGGGAGCAAACAGG
rnacentral:rRNA from 1 species